rnacentral:rRNA from 1 species
UCCUGGGGCUGAAGUAGGUCCCAAGGGUAUGGCUGUUCGCCAUUUAAAGUGGUACGCGAGCUGGGUUUAGAACGUCGUGAGACAGUUCGGUCCCUAUCUGCCGUGGGCGCUGGAGAACUGAGGGGGGCUGCUCCUAGUACGAGAGGACCGGAGUGGACGCAUCACUGGUGUUCGGGUUGUCAUGCCAAUGGCACUGCCCGGUAGCUAAAUGCGGAAGAGAUAAGUGCUGAAAGCAUCUAAGCACGAAACUUGCCCCGAGAUGAGUUCUCCCUGACUCCUUGAGAGUCCUGAAGGAACGUUGAAGACGACGACGUUGAUAGGCCGGGUGUGUAAGCGCAGCGAUGCGUUGAGCUAACCGGUACUAAUGAACCGUGAGGCUUAACCU